rnacentral:rRNA from 1 species
UUGAACGCUGGCGGCAGGCCUAACACAUGCAAGUCGAGCGGAUGAAGGGAGCUUGCUCCUGGAUUCAGCGGCGGACGGGUGAGUAAUGCCUAGGAAUCUGCCUGGUAGUGGGGGAUAACGUCCGGAAACGGGCGCUAAUACCGCAUACGUCCUGAGGGAGAAAGUGGGGGAUCUUCGGACCUCACGCUAUCAGAUGAGCCUAGGCCGGAUUAGCUAGUUGGUGGGGUAAAGGCCUACCAAGGCGACGAUCCGUAACUGGUCAGAGAGGAUGGUCAGUCACACAGGAACUGAGACACGGUCCAGACUCCUACGGGAGGCAGCAGUGGGGAAUAUUGGACAAUGGGCGAAAGCCUGAUCCAGCCAUGCCGCGUGUGUGAAGAAGGUCUUCGGAUUGUAAAGCACUUUAAGUUGGGAGGAAGGGCAGUAAGUUAAUACCUUGCUGUUUUGACGUUACCAACAGAAUAAGCACCGGCUAACUUCGUG